rnacentral:rRNA from 1 species
UACGGAGGGUGCAAACGUUGCUCGGAAUCAUUGGGCGUAAAGCGCACGUAGGCGGCCUGUUAAGUCGGGUGUGAAAGCCCUGGGCUCAACCCAGGAAGUGCACUCGAAACUGGCGGGCUUGAAUAUGGAAGAGGGUCGCGGAAUUCCCGGUGUAGAGGUGAAAUUCGUAGAUAUCGGGAGGAACACCAGUGGCGAAGGCGGCGACCUGGGCCAAUAUUGACGCUGAGGAGCGAAAGCCAGGGGAGCAAACGGG